GAAUGUGAGAGCGAUCUGGCUGUGACGUGUCUCCCCAUUGAUCUCCAGGGUUGAUUCUGCUGAUCUGGCUUGCUAGGCGGGUGUUCCCUUCCUCCCUCACCGCUCCAUGUGUGUCCCUCCAGAAGCUGCGCACUUGGUUGAAGAGGAUGACGUUCCCCAAAUGGAGGAGGACCAGUCUUCUGUCAAGGGUAUAAGAGAAACUAUGCUGCCCUGCAAAGAAUGAAUAAGGGAUAAUACCAAAUGUGGAAAUUAUGGACCACUUAAUUAUCUGAUCUUAGAUAUGACACUAU
ensembl:misc_RNA predicted gene, 23883